ACGUCAAGUAUCGAUCUUUUAUUAUAUAAACUAUUAACCUCUUAACAAUCCGACGGCAGGCCCAGCAGUUAUUCUGUCUUUCAAAGAUUGUAGCGUCCUCAGUUUUAAAGUGAUCCUGGUAUCAUAUGAAACUAGAAAACCUAAGGAAUCGAUGGUACCAACCAUGUCACGCUAGUUUGUCGGGAAUAACGCUCCAAAUUUAUGCUAAAUUUUGACGAGCAAAAAUUGGCAUGGCAAUUUUCAAAGGGUUGACCGCUGACCUCAAGAUAUGUGAAUGAAAAUGAGUUCUACGAGUACCCACGAGUCUCCCCUUUACAGACAUGCCCAC